rnacentral:rRNA from 1 species
AACGAACGCUGGCGGCAGGCUUAACACAUGCAAGUCGAGCGCCCCGCAAGGGGAGCGGCAGACGGGUGAGUAACGCGUGGGAAUCUACCCGAUAGAGGGGGAUACCAGUUGGAAACGACUGUUAAUACCGCAUAAUGUCUACGGACCAAAGUGUGGGACCUUCGGGCCACAUGCUAUCGGAUGCGCCUACGUGGGAUUAGCUAGUUGGUGAGGUAAUGGCUCACCGAGGCGACGAUCUCUAGCUGGUUUGAGAGGAUGAUCAGCCACACUGGAACUGAGACACGGUCCAGACUCCUACAGGAGGCAGCAGUGGGGAAUAUUGGACAAUGGGCGCAAGCCUGAUCCAGCCAUGCCGCGUGUGUGAAGAAGGCCUUCGGGUUGUAAAGCACUUUCAGCGAGGAGGAAGGGGUGUGUGUUAAUAGUACACACCUUUGACGUUACUCGCAGAAGAAGCACCGGCUAACUCUGUGCCAGCCGCCGCGGUAAUAC